rnacentral:lncRNA from 13 species
GCAUGUGGGUUUUGAUAAGAAGAGCUUCAUCGGGCAGAAAUUUCCAUAGCCACUUGAACCUUCAGUAAUCACCACCCCAUAGCAGCCAUUAUCACCAAAGCAAGAUCCUCCACCAGCAAAAAUUACAACUCACUGAAGGCUCAGAUGCUUGUUAGUAUUCUUGAGCAAUAAAGUACUUUUUAAUUAAAGUAUGUACA